rnacentral:rRNA from 1 species
AUUGAACGCUGGCGGCAUGCCUAACACAUGCAAGUCGCACGCGAAAGAGGGGCAACCCUUGAGUAGAGUGGCGGACGGGUGAGUAACGCGUAGGAAUAUACCUGGUAGUGGGGGACAACCCGGUGAAAACCGGGCUAAUACCGCAUACGAUCCACGGAUGAAAGCAGGGGACCGCAAGGCCUUGCGCUAUCAGAUUAGCCUGCGUAGGAUUAGCUAGUUGGUGAGGUAAUGGCUCACCAAGGCAACGAUCCGUAGCUGGUUUGAGAGAACGACCAGCCACACUGGAACUGAGAUACGGUCCAGACUCCUACGGGAGGCAGCAGUGGGGAAUUUUGGACAAUGGGCGCAAGCCUGAUCCAGCAAUGCCGCGUGCAGGAUGAAGGCCUUCGGGUUGUAAACUGCUUUUGUACGGAACGAAACGGCUUUUUCUAAUACAGAGAGCUAAUGACGGUACCGUAAGAAUAAGCACCGGCUAACUACGUGCCAGCCGCCGCCGUAA